AGGACGAACGGCUGGCGGCGUGCUUAACACAUGCAAGUCGAACGGGGAUACUGCUGGAAAGCCUCGGGACGGAAGGCGGUAUCGAGUGGCGGACGGGUGAGUAACGCGUGAACAAUCUGUCCCGGACAGGGGGAUAACACAUGGAAACAGGUGCUAAUACCGCGUAAGACCACGAUGCGGCAUCGCAUUGAGGUAAAAGGAGAGAUCCGGUUCGGGGUGAGUUCGCGUCCGAUUAGCCAGUUGGUGAGGUAACGGCCCACCAAAGCGACGAUCGGUAGCCGAUCUGAGAGGAUGAGCGGCCACAUUGGAACUGAGAGACGGUCCAAACUCCUACGGGAGGCAGCAGUGGGGAAUAUUGGGCAAUGGGCGCAAAGCCUGACCCAGCAACGCCGCGUGAGUGAAGAAGGCUUUCGGGUUGUAAAGCUCUGUUAUAGGGGACGAAGGAAGUGACGGUACCCUAUAAGGAAGCCCCGGCUAACUACGUGCCAGCAGCAGC
rnacentral:rRNA from 1 species